AUUGAACGCUGGCGGCAGGCCUAACACAUGCAAGUCGAGCGAGCGGCGGACGGGUGAGUAAUGUAUGGGGACUGCCCGAUAGAGGGGGAUAACUACUGGAAAAGGUGGCUAAUACCGCAUACUAUCGGAUAACCCAUAUGGGAUUAGCUAGUAGGUGGGGUAAAGGCUCACCUGGGCGACGAGCGCUAGCUGGUCUGAGAGGAUGAUCAGCCACACGGGGACUGAGACACGGCCAGGACUCCUACGGAGGCAGCGGGGGGGAUUAUUGCACAAUGGGCGCAAGCCUGAUGCAGCCAUGCGCCGUGUAGGAAGAGGGCCUUGGGGUUGUAAAUUACUUUCAGCGGGGAGGCGUUACCGGCAGAAGAAGCAACGGCUAACUCCGUGCCAGCCGCCGCGGUAAUAC
rnacentral:rRNA from 1 species